UCGUGCCUACGGGACGCAGCAGUGAGGAAUAUUGGUCAAUGGGCGCAAGCCUGAACCAGCCACGUCGCGUGAGGGAUGACGGUCCUAUGGAUUGUAAACCUCUUUUGUCGGGGAGCAAGGCCCGCCACGUGUGGCGGGAAGGAGAGUACCCGAAGAAAAAGCAUCGGCUAACUCCGUGCCAGCAGCCGCGGUAAUACGGAGGAUGCGAGCGUUAUCCGGAUUUAUUGGGUUUAAAGGGGGCGUAGGCGGAUCGUUAAGUCAGUGGUCAAAUUGAGGGGCUCAACCCCUUCCCGCCAUUGAAACUG
rnacentral:rRNA from 1 species